UAGCGAAGGGGGGCUAGCGUUUGCUACGGAAUCACUGGGCGUGAAAGGGGCGCGUUAGCGGGCGUUUUAAGUCGGGGGGUGAAAAGCCCUGUGGCUCAACCACAGAAUGGCCCUUCGAUACUGGGGAGCUUGAGUAUGGUAGAGGUUGGGUGGAAAUGCGAGUGUAGAGGUGAAAAUUCGUAGAUAUUCGCAAGAACACCGGUGGCGA
rnacentral:rRNA from 1 species